UACGUAGGGGGCUAGCGUUAUCCGGAAUUACUGGGCGUAAAGGGUGCGUAGGUGGUUUCUUAAGUCAGAGGUGAAAGGCUACGGCUCAACCGUAGUAAGCCUUUGAAACUGGGAAACUUGAGUGCAGGAGAGGAGAGUGGAGUUCCUAGUGUAGCGGUGAAAUGCGUAGAUAUUAGGAGGAACACCAGUUGCGAAGGCGGCUCUCUGGGCUGUAACUGACACUGAGGCACGAAAGCGUGGGGAGCAAACAGG
rnacentral:rRNA from 1 species